CGGCCGUCCGAGUUGUAAUCUGGAGAAGCGUUUUCGGUGCCGGCCCGCGUACAAGUCCCCUGGAACGGGGCGUCGCAGAGGGUGAGAAUCCCGUCUUUGAUGCGGUCUCGCCGGUGCCAUGCGAAGCGCUCUCGAAGAGUCGAGUUGUUUGGGAAUGCAGCUCAAAACGGGUGGUAAAUUCCAUCUAAAGCUAAAUACGGGCGAAAGACCGAUAGCGAACAAGUACCGUGAGGGAAAGAUGAAAAGCACUUUGGAAAGAGAGUCAAACAGUACGUGAAAUUGUUGAAAGGGAAACGCUUGAAGUCAGUCGCGUCUCCCGGGACUCAGCGGGGUCACUCCCGCGCACUUCCCGGGUUUAUGACGGGCCAGCGUCGAUUUCGACCGUCGUAGAAAGGCGAGAGGAAAGUGGCGGUCCUUCGGGGCCGUGUUAUAGCCUCGCGUCGUAUGCGAACGGUCCGGGAUCGAGGGAUGCAGCGCGCCUUCCUUUUCGGAGGAGGGCCGGGGUUCGCCCACGUAACGCGCUUGGGACGCUGGCGUAAUGGCUUUAAGCGACCCGUCUUGAAACACGGACCAAGGAGUCUAACAUGCUCGCGAGUGUUCGGGUGGAAAACCCGCGCGCGUAAUGAAAGUGAAAGGUUGGGACCCCUUCGCGAGAGGGGGGCACCGACGCCCGGACUCGAGCCACCGGUGACGGUUCCGAGGCGGAGCGCGUAUGUUGGGACCCGAAAGAUGGUGAACUAUGC
rnacentral:rRNA from 1 species